AGAGUUUGAUCAUGGCUCAGAACGAACGCUGGCGGCAUGCUUAACACAUGCGAGUCGAACGAGGGCUCUGGCUUCGGCUGGGGCCCUAGUGGCGAACGGGUGAGUAACGCGUGGGAACCUGCCUUGGAGUGGGGGAUAACCACUGGAAACGGUGGCUAAUACCGCAUAUGGCCUGAGGGUCAAAGGCUUACGAGCCGCUUUGAGAGGGGCCCGCGUCCGAUUAGGUAGUUGGUGGGGUAACGGCCUACCAAGCCUUCGAUCGGUAGCUGGUCUGAGAGGAUGAUCAGCCACACUGGGACUGCGACACGGCCCAGACUCCUACGGGAGGCAGCAGUGGGGAAUAUUGGACAAUGGGCGCAAGCCUGAUCCAGCAAUGCCGCGUGCGUGAUGAAGGCCUUCGGGUUGUAAAGCGCUUUCGCCCACGACGAUGAUGACGGUAGUGGGAGAAGAAGCCCCGGCUAACUCCGUGCCAGCAGCCGCGGUAAUACGGAGGGGGCUAGCGUUGUUCGGAAUUACUGGCGUAAAGGGUGCGUAGGCGGCUGUUCAAGUCAGACGUGAAAGGCCUGGGCUCAACCUGGGAACUGCGUUUGAGACUGGACGGCUCGAGUCCGGGAGAGGUGAGCGGAAUUCCCAGUGUAGAGGUGAAAUUCGUAGAUAUUGGGAAGAACACCGGUGGCGAAGGCGGCUCACUGGACCGGUACUGACGCUGAGGCACGAAAGCGUGGGGAGCAAACAGGAUUAGAUACCCUAGUAGUCC
rnacentral:rRNA from 1 species